AAGGAAUAUAAUUUGAAGAAACUCUGAGAAAAUGCUAUAUAGCAGGAUCUCCAAAAUGUGAAUAUUUUUUGUGGUGUUGUUUUCCUUGCAGGGAAGCUAUUGAUUUGAGGAAUUUGAAGGUUUCUGGAGGAAGGACUUGGAAAAUUUGAAGUGAACCUCUUUUGGGAAUUAAAAGUCUGGAGAAUUUUGUUGACCCAGCAUCAAGUUCACUGAUCUUUUUUGUUGUGUACAAUCUGCUAUUCAGCACAUCCAGCAAUGCCUCUGAGAACCUUGGAAUGGAGAAAGGGAACAAUGUCAUCUGCACUCAGUCAUGGAGGAAACAGCUGGACAAGUCAGCACAGGGCGGAGGUGACCGGUGGAGGCGACUAGGACUUCUUCAGGCAGCAUCUGAAGUCUCUCUGAAAACACAAGAAAAGAAUAUACAGAGAACCUCCCAGAAACUGCAAGUCCCAUGGAAAUUAAGGCCAUUAGUGUUUUGUAUAAUAAACAGUCACCUUUGCAUUUAAAAUGGACUAUUUUGUUUUGGAUAUAGGUGGAGUAGGAUAUAAAUGUAUACUUCCUUGCUUCUUAGUUUAUCAUAGGAAUCUAAGAAAAGAACUAAGGAUAAGAGAAAAGGAGGAAAAAAAGACAGCUCUGCUGCUUUUAUCUCAGGUUAUUUCAGAAAAAACAAAAUGAUAACCCUGCAAAAUUCUCAGCACUCUUCACUUUGGUUCCACCGCUUUCAGUGGGUGACUUGUCUGGAAAGGAAUCUCUUUUAGCCUUCCUGGCUAAUGAGCCAUGGCAGAUAAUGCCACAAGGUGUCACUAUUGCUAAAAUCGCUCUCCACCUACAGGAUCGAU
rnacentral:lncRNA from 10 species